UACGGAGGAUCCAGCGUUAUCCGGAUUUAUUGGGUUUAAAGGGUGCGUAGGCGGCCUGUUAAGUCAGGGGUGAAAGACGGUAGCUCAACUAUCGCAGUGCCCUUGAUACUGAUGGGCUUGAAUGUACUAGAGGUAGGCGGAAUGUGACAAGUAGCGGUGAAAUGCAUAGAUAUGUCACAGAACACCAAUUGCGAAGGCAGCUUACUAUGGUAUUAUUGACGCUGAGGCACGAAAGCGUGGGGAUCAAACAGG
rnacentral:rRNA from 1 species